UAAGUCACUGCACUUUGAACCGUUCCGUAGGGGACCUGCGGAAGGAUCAUUACCGAGUUGAUUCGGGCUCCGGCCCGAUCCUCCCACCCUUUGUGUACCUACCUCUGUUGCUUUGGCGGGCCGCGGUCCUCCGCGGCUGCCCCCUCCCCGGGGGGUGGCCAGCGCCCGCCAGAGGACCAUCAAACUCCAGUCAGUAAACGAUGCAGUCUGAAAAACAUUCAAUAAACUAAAACUUUCAACAACGGAUCUCUUGGUUCUGGCAUCGAUGAAGAACGCAGCGAAAUGCGAUAAGUAAUGUGAAUUGCAGAAUUCAGUGAAUCAUCGAAUCUUUGAACGCACAUUGCGCCCUUUGGUAUUCCGAAGGGCAUGCCUGUUCGAGCGUCAUUACAACCCUCAAGCUCUGCUUGGUAUUGGGCACCGUCCUUUGCGGGCGCGCCUCAAAGACCUCGGCGGUGGCGUCUUGCCUCAAGCGUAGUAGAACAUACAUCUCGCUUCGGAGCGCAGGGCGUCGCCCGCCGGACGAACCUUCUGAACUUUUCUCAAGGUUGACCUCGGAUCAGGUAGGGAUACCCGCUGAACUUAAGCAUAUCAAUAAGCGGAGGAAAAGAAACCAACAGGGAUUGCCUUAGUAACGGCGAGUGAAGCGGCAACAGCUCAAAUUUGAAAGCUGGCUCCUUUGGAGUCCGCGUUGUAAUUUGUAGAGGAUGAUUCGGCAAGGGCUCCCGCCUAAGUCUCCUGGAACGGAGCGUCAUAGAGGGUGAGAAUCCCGUAUGCGGUGGGCUGCCUAAGCCAUGUGAAUCUCCUUCGACGAGUCGAGUUGUUUGGGAAUGCAGCUCUAAAUGGGAGGUAAAUUUCUUCUAAAGCUAAAUACCGGCCAGAGACCGAUAGCGCACAAGUAGAGUGAUCGAAAGAUGAAAAGCACUUUGGAAAGAGAGUUAAAAAGUACGUGAAAUUGUUGAAAGGGAAGCGCUUGCAGCCAGACUUGUCCGCAGUUGCUCAGCCGGUCUCCUGACCGGUGUACUCUUCUGCGGCCAGGCCAGCAUCAGUUCGGGCGGUCGGAUAAAGACCUCGGGAAUGUAGCUCCUCUCGGGGAGUGUUAUAGCCCGGGGUGGAAUGCGGCCAGCCUGGACUGAGGAUCUCGCUCGG
rnacentral:rRNA from 1 species